AGCUGCAGCACUGACAAGAGUGCCUUCGAUUGGCGGAAAUGAUGUCUUAACAGGCCGGAAGUGUGCGUAAUACCCCUUUCUAGGUUCUUGAAUCGAGUUAGGGGUACGGUCGGCGAGUGGAUCCAGUGCCAUCCGGCCAUGUGCGCCUUCAGGUGGAAGAGGAAACUUCGCGGACCCCUCAUGUGUGCUCAGACAAUGGCUGCUGGAGGGAUUUUCACCGCUCCCAACAAAAACUUGAAAUCUGGAAACCGUGAUAGGUUCCGAGAUCGCUGACCCUGAUUGGGUGUAUCCUCAAUGAGAAAAUGACGCCUUACUGAGCGGGAAAACCUUGUCUGUGAAGCUGGCAGAUGUCCUCUGCACCACAGCUGACGACGUGCAGACGUUGCAGUCAUUCCCUCUGUUGAGGUUGGGAACGGCCUGUGGUUCCGCUGCUGGGUUAACCUGCAGAUAUUUGAAGCACGUCUGACUUGUUUGCAAACAUAGUUCGUAUUAUGACGUAGAAGCGUUUCCAGGGUAACGGUGGAUUUGCUAUUGAUGCGAUGGGCAUAUUUGUU